AUUGAACGCUGGCGGCAUGCUUUACACAUGCAAGUCGAACGGUAACAGGCCGCAAGGUGCCGACGAGUGGCGAACGGGUGAGUAAUGCAUCGGAACGUGCCCAGUCGUGGGGGAUAACUACUCGAAAGAGUAGCUAAUACCGCAUACGAUCUAUGGAUGAAAGCGGGGGACCGUAAGGCCUCGCGCGAUUGGAGCGGCCGAUGUCAGAUUAGGUAGUUGGUGGGGUAAAGGCUCACCAAGCCAACGAUCUGUAGCUGGUCUGAGAGGAGGACCAGCCACACUGGGACUGAGACACGGCCCAGACUCCUACGGGAGGCAGCAGUGGGGAAUUUUGGACAAUGGGCGCAAGCCUGAUCCAGCAAUGCCGCGUGCAGGAAGAAGGCCUUCGGGUUGUAAACUGCUUUUGUACGGAACGAAACGGCUCUGGUUAAUACCCGGGGCUAAUGACGGUACCGUAAGAAUAAGCACCGGCUAACUACGUG
rnacentral:rRNA from 1 species